AGCUUUAGGGCUAGCCUCAAGUGAUGAUUAUUGGAGGUAGAGCACUGUUUGGACGAGGGGCCCCUCUCGGGUUACCGAAUUCAGACAAACUCCGAAUGCCAAUUAAUUUAACUUGGGAGUCAGAACAUGGGUGAUAAGGUCCGUGUUCGAAAGGGAAACAGCCCAGACCACCAGCUAAGGUCCCAAAAUAUAUGUUAAGUGGAAAAGGAUGUGGCGUUGCCCAGACAACUAGGAUGUUGGCUUAGAAGCAGCCAUCAUUUAAAGAGUGCGUAAUAGCUCACUAGUCGAGUGACACUGCGCCGAAAAUGUACCGGGGCUAAACAUAUUACCGAAGCUGUGGAUUGUCCUUUGGACAAUGGUAGGAGAGCGUUCUAAGGGCGUUGAAGCAUGAUCGUAAGGACAUGUGGAGCGCUUAGAAGUGAGAAUGCCGGUGUGAGUAGCGAAAGACGGGUGAGAAUCCCGUCCACCGAUUGACUAAGGUUUCCAGAGGAAGGCUCGUCCGCUCUGGGUUAGUCGGGUCCUAAGCUGAGGCCGACAGGCGUAGGCGAUGGAUAACAGGUUGAUAUUCCUGUACCACCUAUAAUCGUUUUAAUCGAUGGGGGGACGCAGUAGGAUAGGCGAAGCGUGCGAUUGGAUUGCACGUCUAAGCAGUAAGGCUGAGUAUUAGGCAAAUCCGGUACUCAUUAAGGCUGAGCUGUGAUGGGGAGAAGACAUUGUGUCUUCGAGUCGUUGAUUUCACACUGCCGAGAAAAGCCUCUAGAUAGAAAAUAGGUGCCCGUACCGCAAACCGACACAGGUAGUCAAGAUGAGAAUUCUAAGGUGAGCGAGCGAACUCUCGUUAAGGAACUCGGCAAAAUGACCCCGUAACUUCGGGAGAAGGGGUGCUCUUUAGGGUUAACGCCCAGAAGAGCCGCAGUGAAUAGGCCCAAGCGACUGUUUAUCAAAAACACAGGUCUCUGCUAAACCGUAAGGUGAUGUAUAGGGGCUGACGCCUGCCCGGUGCUGGAAGGUUAAGAGGAGUGGUUAGCUUCUGCGAAGCUACGAAUCGAAGCCCCAGUAAACGGCGGCCGUAACUAUAACGGUCCUAAGGUAGCGAAAUUCCUUGUCGGGUAAGUUCCGACCCGCACGAAAGGCGUAACGAUUUGGGCACUGUCUCAACGAGAGACUCGGUGAAAUCAUAGUACCUGUGAAGAUGCAGGUUACCCGCGACAGGACGGAAAGACCCCGUGGAGCUUUACUGUAGCCUGAUAUUGAAAUUCGGCACAGCUUGUACAGGAUAGGUAGGAGCCUUUGAAACGUGAGCGCUAGCUUACGUGGAGGCGCUGGUGGGAUACUACCCUAGCUGUGUUGGCUUUCUAACCCGCACCACUUAUCGUGGUGGGAGACAGUGUCAGGCGGGCAGUUUGACUGGGGCGGUCGCCUCCUAAAAGGUAACGGAGGCGCUCAAAGGUUCCCUCAGAAUGGUUGGAAAUCAUUCAUAGAGUGUAAAGGCAUAAGGGAGCUUGACUGCGAGACCUACAAGUCGAGCAGGGUCGAAAGACGGACUUAGUGAUCCGGUGGUUCCGCAUGGAAGGGCCAUCGCUCAACGGAUAAAAGCUACCCCGGGGAUAACAGGCUUAUCUCCCCCAAGAGUUCACAUCGACGGGGAGGUUUGGCACCUCGAUGUCGGCUCAUCGCAUCCUGGGGCUGUAGUCGGUCCCAAGGGUUGGGCUGUUCGCCCAUUAAAGCGGUACGCGAGCUGGGUUCAGAACGUCGUGAGACAGUUCGGUCCCUAUCCGUCGUGGGCGUAGGAAAUUUGAGAGGAGCUGUCCUUAGUACGAGAGGACCGGGAUGGACAUACCUCUGG
rnacentral:rRNA from 1 species